CCUGGUCAUCCCUACUGCCUCUGAUCUGGAGGACUCACUAAACAGAGAACAUCCCUGGUUAUCCCUACUGCCUCUGAUCUGGUGGACUCACUAAACAGAGAACAUCCCUGGUCAUCCCUACUGCCUCUGAUCUGGAGGACUCACUAAACAGAGAACAUCCCUGGUUAUCCCUACUGCCUCUGAUCUGGUGGACUCACUAAACAGAGAACAUCCCUGGUCCUCCCUACUGCCUCUGAUCUGGAGGACUCACUAAACAGAGAACAUCCCUGGUCAUCCCUACUGCCUCUGAUCUGGAGGACUCACUAAACAGAGAACAUCCCUGGUCGUCCCUACUGCCUCUGAUCUGGAGGACUCACUAAACAGAGAACAUCCCUGGUCAUCCCUACUGCCUCUGAUCUGGUGGACUCACUAAACAGAGAACAUCCCUGGUCAUCCCUACUGCCUCUGAUCUGGAAGACUCACUAAACAGAGAACAUCCCUGGUCAUCCCUACUGCCUCUGAUCUGGUGGACUCACUAAACAGAGAACAUCCCUGGUCAUCCCUACUGCCUCUGAUCUGGAGGACUCACUAAACAGAGAACAUCCUUGGUCAUCCCUACUGCCUCUGAUCUGGAGGACUCACUAAACAGAGAACAUCCCUGGUUAUCCCUACUGCCUCUGAUCUGGUGGACUCACUAAACAGAGAACAUCCCUGGUCAUCCCUACUGCCUCUGAUCUGGAGGACUCACUAAACAGAGAACAUCCCUGGUCAUCCCUACUGCCUCUGAUCUGGAGGACUCACUAAACAGAGAACAUCCCUGGUCGUCCCUACUGCCUCUGAUCUGGAGGACUCACUAAACAGAGAACAUCCCUGGUUAUCCCUACUGCCUCUGAUCUGGUGGACUCACUAAACAGAGAACAUCCCUGGUCAUCCCUACUGCCUCUGAUCUGGAAGACUCACUAAACAGAGAACAUCCCUGGUCAUCCCUACAGCCUCUGAUCUGGAGGACUCACUAAAUAGAGAACAUCCCUGGUUAUCCCUACUGCCUCUGAUCUGGUGGACUCACUAAACAGAGAACAUCCCUGGUCAUCCCUACUGCCUCUGAUCUGGAGGACUCACUAAACAGAGAACAUCCUUGGUCAUCCCUACUGCCUCUGAUCUGGAGGACUCACUAAACAGAGAACAUCCCUGGUUAUCCCUACUGCCUCUGAUCUGGUGGACUCACUAAACAGAGUACAUCCCUGGUCAUCCCUACUGCCUCUGAUCUGGAGGACUCACUAAACAGAGAACAUCCUUGGUCCUCCCUACUGCCUCUGAUCUGGAGUGUACCCCUGGCUAUCCAUAAAUAAAAUAAAAACAAGAAAAUGGUGCUUUUCUGCUUAAUAGAAGGAAUUUGAAAAAAACAUAUAUUUUUUUUAACUUUUGAUACUUAAGGAUAUUUUUAUAAAUGUACUUUUGAUACUUCAGUAUAUUUAAAACCAAAAUACCUUUAGACUUUUACUCAAGUAGUAUUUUACUAGGUGACUCACUUUUACUUGAGUCAUUUUCUAUGUAUCUUUUGUAUCUUUAGUACUUUUUCCACCAUUGAGUUUGUUUUUAUUAUAUUUGAGUACGCGAGUUAGUUUUAAAAAAAGGGUCUAUGCAGGUAGUUUGGGUAUUUAGCAGGCAGUCUUAUGCCUUGGAUGUCACAUCCUGACCAGUAAUAGGGGAUAUUUGUUAUUGUAGUUUGGUCAGGACGUGGCAGAGGGUAUUUGUUAUUGUAGUUUGGUCAGGACGUGGCAGAGGGGUAUUUGUUAUUGUAGUUUGGUCAGGACGUGGCAGAGGGGUAUUUGUUAUUGUAGUUUGGUCAGGACGUGGCAGAGGGGUUAUUUGUUAUUGUAGUUUGGUCAGGACGUGGCAGAGGGGUUAUUUGUUAUUGUAGUUUGGUCAGGACGUGGCAGAGGGGUAUUUGUUAUUGUAGUUUGGUCAGGACGUGGCAGAGGGGUAUUUGUUAUUGUAGUUUGGUCAGGACGUGGCAGAGGGGUAUUUGUUAUUGUAGUUUGGUCAGGACGUGGCAGAGGGGUUAUUUGUUAUUGUAGUUUGGUCAGGACGUGGCAGAGGGUAUUUGUUAUUGUAGUUUGGUCAGGACGUGGCAGAGGGGUUAUUUGUUAUUGUAGUUUGGUCAGGACGUGGCAGAGGGUGUUUGUAUUGUAGUUUGGUCAGGACGUGGCAGAGGGUAUUUGUUUUAUGUGGUUCGGGGUGGUGGUUUGUUUAGAAGGGUGUUUGAUUUAUUAUUUCCGGGUUUUGGGUAAUGUUCUAUGUUCUCUCUAGUUUAGUAUUUCUAUGUCUAGGUAAUUGGGUGUUGGACUCUCAAUUGGAGGCAGGUGUUUUUAGUUGUCUCUGAUUGAGAGUCCUAUAUAUAGGUAUGUGUUGGUAUUAGUGUUUGGUGGGAGAUUGUUUCUGUGUGUAGCUCCAAGCCUUACAGGACUGUUAUUCGUCGUUGUUUCUUUGUUGUUGUGUACGUGUUUAUUUUUGGUUUCACCUUCUUCUUCGCCAACUAAUUAAAAAAAGAAGAUGAGUGCACAUUUCCCCGCUGCGUCUUGGUCCGCUUUAUCCGACGACAACCGUUACAUUACAUACGGUCCUGUUGGUUCCGGACUCGGUGUAAUGGUUCCUCCUGCCGUUCAGUAGCAGAGAGAACAAUCUAUGACUUGGGGUGGCUGGAGUCUUUGACAAUUUUUUUGGGGGGGGCUUCCUCUGACACCGCCUGGUAUCGAGGUCCUGGAUGGCAGGGAGUUCGGCCCCAUGUGAUGUCCUGGGCCGUACUCACCAACUGCCUUGCGGUGAAGCAGCCAGUGAAGAUGCCCUCAAUGCUGUAUAACUUUUUGAGGAUCUGAGGGCCAAUGCCAAGUCUUUUCGGCCUCCGCUUGUCGUGCCCUCUUCACAAUUGUGUGGACCAUUUGAAUGACUUAGUGAUGACACCGAGGAAAGCCCGUUCCACUACAGCCCCUUUGAUGUGGAUGAAGGUGUGCUCGCACCUCUGUUUCCUAUAGUCCACGAUCAUCUCCUUUGUCUUGCUGACGUUGAGGGAGAGGUUGUUGUCCUGGCACAACACUGCCAGGUCUCUGACCUCCUCCGUGUUCACUGCCGCUCUCUAUAAGGACAUGGGAUUUUGUUCUGUUAUAAAUAUAAAUCCCAAACAGUUUAACUUCAGUUUACUCUGACAGUUGAACUUUCCUAUUCAGAAGAGACUUAACAUUCCCAAAUCUUUCACUGUUGUUUCUUUAACCAGUCAGUCCUCUACCCUAUAUUCCCUAGGUUUAUUACGGGUGCUAGCUACAAAACUCACCACUGUGUUUUAUAUCAAAAGGUGAGUUGGACCUCGCUGUCCGUGAGACGAGAACAACACGCUCUCGUGUUUGUCUAUAAAGCACUUCUGAAUAAACUACCUUCUUAUUUAUCAUCACUCAUCAAUAUUAGAAUUAUAAUUCAUGAAACCAGGUCUCAAGCAUGGAAAAGGAGACAGCAUGAAUAUCAUAUGAGCAGAUUUACUGUAUUACCUCAAUUAGCCAGGAAAUCCCUAGUUUGAAAGCAACUGUUUUUCUGUAUGCUGUGCUGCU
rnacentral:lncRNA from 1 species